rfam:Mus musculus chromosome 11, GRC primary reference assembly.
GGUUUGUUGGUCUAGUGGUAUGAUUCUCAGUUUGGGUUUGAGAGGUCCUGGGUUCAAAUCCCAGACGAGCCC